CAGUAACGGCGAGUGAAGCGGGAAGAGCUCAAACUUAAAAUCUCCACGUUUACGUGGCGAAUUGUAGUCUAUUGAGGCUGUUAUCAGCAUAGCGACCUGGGAGAAGUCCCUUGGAAAAGGGCAGCAAAGAGGGUGAUACUCCCGUCUCUGCUCAGGUUGUCUGUGUGUACGAUACGCUUUUUUUGAGUCGAGUUGUUUGGGAAUACAGCUCAAAGUAGGUGGUAAAUUCCAUCUAAAGCUAAAUAUUGGUGCGAGACCGAUAGCGAACAAGUACCGUGAGGGAAAGAUGAAAAGAACUUUGAAAAGAGAGUUAAAGAGUACCUGAAACUGUUGAAAGGGAACCGUAUCGUUUCCAGUGUUGAAUCCUAUGUAUAUUUCAUUAGCGGAGAAAUUUGCUGGUGCCCUGUGCAUGGGUGUGACGUCAGGGUCAGUUUGUAUGCUGCGGGAGAUGGUCAGUGAGGAGGUGCUUCACUUCGGUGAAAGUUAUAUCUUGCUGUCUAGUAGCCGUGGUUGAGACUGAGGUGCCUACAACAUGCUCUGGGGUUCGAUGUUGUCUCGUUUUGGUGACUGCUUGGAUAGCUUGCUAUGUCUGCGGUUUAUUGAGGCGAUUGAUGGUAUUGAUAACCUCUGCUGUUCGGGACUCUGGCGAAAUGGAGCGAUACGACCCGUCUUGAA
rnacentral:rRNA from 1 species